UACGGAGGGUGCAAGCGUUGUUCGGAAUCACUGGGCGUAAAGGGCGCGUAGGCGGCCGAUCAAGUCAGUUGUGAAAUCCCACGGCUCAACCGUGGAAGUGCAAUUGAAACUGGUUGGCUUGAGUACCGGAGGGGAAUGUGGAAUUCCCGGUGUAGAGGUGAAAUUCGUAGAUAUCGGGAGGAACACCGGUGGCGAAGGCGACAUUCUGGACGGAUACUGACGCUGAGGCGCGAAAGCGUGGGGAGCAAAC
rnacentral:rRNA from 1 species